UAAAAGUGACUGAAGCAAUGGUAGCGAGGAAUGCACCUCAGUGUCUCCGGUGCUGUGUAUCUAGUCCUGGUUCAAACCAAAGAUCUUUGUGUCUCACAGCAGAAUCAGAAAGCGGCAGAUCGCAAACGUAGCAGAGGUAACUUAGAGAAGGUUCCAGUGGUGGAUGUGGCCAGUAUGUAAGAUGCAGACAUAUGGUGCAAAUGGAUAUACAGAAAGGUCCAAGCAAAACAGAAGGAAAGUUUUUUUGUUGUUUUUUUGUGGAUUUUUUUGCAUGGCUGCCAGGUGUGUAUUUGUUCUAACAAGUUUUUGCCUAAUAGUCUUGUGCGUGUGUGGCAUUCAGCUCCACGGAGAACAUGAUGUGAAGGAAAGAAUCCCGUUUUUGGAGAUGGGUUUAUGCUGCCUGCAAACUGUGGACUGGUUCUCUACUCUGACAGCCUUAUUACCAGCUUCCUUUUCCUUCUUUUUUCUUGGCAGAUGGCGCUGAUCCCCAUUCCCAGCUGCUCAAGGCAAGAGGAUGCUAUGCAGGUGAUCCACUGAGGUCCUCCAGAACGCAUAGAAGAACUCAGUGAAAUCUUAACCUGUUUAGAUCAGCAGCCUGUGGACAUGAGUCCUCGGUGUCACUCUUCGUGUACUGGUCUCGAAGGGUCCUGGCCAGAAAGAAGAUUACAGCAGAUGCCACAAGAAGGAAUCCUGCCACUGAAGCAAUUGCGAUACCCACAACGAGUGGUUCAGACACAUACUCUUCACAGUGCUCCCCUCUGUACCACCAGUUCUCUCCUACACGACACCUGCAACAAAAAGAACACUGGGAAAUAAAACACCAGCAAAAACUGUCACUUUAAUGUAAUUUUAAUGUAAGCUUAUUUAACUUCCUGUUAUGAUGUGCUCAGUUAAGUUACCUGAAUAAAUACCUCUGCAUUUUCGAGGA